GUUUAACAAAAACAUGUCUUUUUGAUUAUAAUUUAAAGUCUAACCUGCCCAAUGAGUUUUUUAAUGGCCGCGGUAUUUUGACUGUGCAAAGGUAGCAUAAUCAUUAGUUUUUUAAUUGAAAGCUGGAAUGAAGGGUUGAAUGAAAAAAUAACUGUCUCUAUUUAAAUUUAUUUGAAUUUUAUUUUUAAGUUAAAAAGCUUAAAUUUUUAUGAAAGACGAGAAGACCCUAUAGAGUUUAAUAUUUUUUUAUUUUUUAAUAUUUUAGUAUUUAGUUUUUUAUUUUGUAAAAAGUAUUUAAUUGGGGUGAUUAAAAAAUUAAAUAAACUUUUUUUUAAUUUUUACAUUAAUUUAUGAAUUUAUGAUCCUUUAGUAAAGAUUAUAAGAUUAAAUUACCUUAGGGAUAACAGCGUAAUUUUUUUUGAGAGUUCAAAUCGAAAGAAAAGAUUGCGACCUCGAUGUUGGAUUAAAA
rnacentral:rRNA from 1 species